GUUGAACGCUGGCGGCAUGCCUAACACACGCAAGUCGAGCGAAUGAAGGAGGCGUUCUCCUGGAUGCAGCUAGCGGCGGAUGGGUGAGUCCUACGUGGCUACCUGAUAUUUGAGGAUAACGUCCCUUAGGGGACGCUAAUACCGUAUAGGUUCUUAGGUAGAAAGGGAUGGAUCUUCGGACCUCACGGUAUCUGCUGAGCCUAAUUCGGAUUAGCUAGUUGGAAUGGUAAAGGCCUACCAAGGCGACGAUCCGUAACUGGUCUGAGAGGCUGAUCAGCCACACUGGAACUGAGACACGGUCCAGACUCCUACGGGAGGCAGCAGUGGGGAAUAUUCGACAAUGGGCGAAAGCUUGACCCAGCAAUGCCGCGUGUGUGAUGAAGGUCUUCGGAUCGUAAAGCACUUUUAGUUGGGAAGAACGACAGUAAGUUAAAAUAUUGACGUCUUGACGUUACCAAAAGAAUAAGCCACGGCUAACUUCGUG
rnacentral:rRNA from 1 species